rnacentral:rRNA from 1 species
GCGAACGGGUGAGUAACACGUGAGUAACCUGCCCUCAACAUUUGAAUAACUCCAUGAAAGUGGGGCUAAUGCAAUAUAUUCUGCAGUCAUCGCAUGGUGGUUGUGGGAAACGGUUUUUUCUGGUUGGGGAUGGGCUCGCGGCCUAUCAGCUUGUUGGUGGGGUGAUGGCCUACCAAGGCGGUGACGGGUAGCCGGCCUGAGAGGGUGGACGGCCACACUGGGACUGAGAUACGGCCCAGACUCCUACGGGAGGCAGCAGUGGGGGAUUUUGCACAAUGGGCGCAAGCCUGAUGCAGCGACGCCGCGUGAGGGAUGACGGCCUUCGGGUUGUAAACCUCUUUCGCUAGGUUGGAAGACGCUUUUUGGAGUUGUUGACUUUAACUGGUAAAGAAGUACCGGCUAACUACGUGCCAGCAGCCGCGGUAAUACGUAGGGUACUAGCGUUGUCCGGAAUUAUUGGGCGUAAAGGGCUUGUAGGUGGUUUGUCGCGUCUGUCGUGAAAACCCGGGGCUUAACUC